UCAAAGAAUAAAUACCUUUCUUUUUUCUACGAAUAUAAUCCAUCCUUUUUAGGAAACAAGAGGAUAAAUCGUUUCUCAAUAUGAUUUCACUUAAUGACGUGUCAUGCUCCUUUCCUUGCCUCAGUAACUGGUUUUAUAAUUCUGAAACGCGAUGCGCACAUGUAUAUUAAAUUUACUACCUGUAAAGAAUCGUAUAUGUACAUUACGCACUAAUUCAGUACCCUAGAACUAUGCUGCAUAACUCAUAAGAACUAAAAUGUCUGUUUGGUUUUAACUACCAUUCAACUAUACGCAAACUCUUCUAUAUGUAUAUCACACAUCACAUAACCCGUUCUCACGCGACAUCAUCACGUGUCGUCUAUCCCAUGAACAAAGAAGACAGUUGCAAUUGCGUAUGUGUGCAGGAGUAUGAUCGCGCGAACUUUGACCGUCCCCUACGGUCGUUGCACGACGUUCAAUCUCCCUUUGGUGAAAGAAGCGUUCGCGUUCACGCGGCAAACGUUCUUCAACACGUGCCAACGGGACCCGCCGACGCUCCAACACGAGUAUACCGUAUGGACGCACGCGUAAACGUGCGCGUAUAUGUUUAUGUGCAUGUAUUCACGGUUGGUUCAUUCAUAAAAGCGGAACUUCCUGAAGUACGCGGACUCCUCUCACCUGGUCGUCAUGACGACGUGUAUUUUCAUUCAUAACGAGACCCGCGUAUUACGCACGCACGCCGACGGAGAUUUCCUUGGUAUGUGAGUCACUGUGUAAUAGUGCUAUAAAAUAGUCGCGGAUGAAAGACGUUUUGUCAACAAGAAGCCUGGAUUAUCGUCAGAGAGCCGCGUAAAUACUAUCGACUUAUUUUCACGAGGGUCGACUCCUCUCUCCCCGAAAUGUGUAACCACUUAACUGCCAGAAAAGAUAAAGAACAAUAGGUAUAGAUAGACUUCGCAAAUAGCAGUGGAUUGUUAUAAAUAGAGUCGGACAAUGGUACAGUGUUGGAAUAUAAUUAUGUACGUAUUUGAUAAUAACGAUGAUUAAACGAAAGGAGACUUGUGAAUAUUAAGAUACAAAUGCUGUGAAUGUUUUGAAUAACAGUCGGUAACAUUUCAACUCGAAAACCCGAAUAUAGAUGAUGAUA